CACUCAAUGAAGGUAAAGACACUCAAUCAAAAAAACUGUAUUUUUAAUACAGACUUUCUAUUUUUUCUAUUUUUACUUAGUUAUAUGUUAGCUUAGUAGACUCCUAAGUCAACAAUGAAAUUGCAAAACCAUGGAAGCAAGUUUCAGAGAAGAAUGUGAUUAGGAGUUGGUCUCCUUGCUCAUGAGCAAUUCCUCUUGCUUAUAUCUUGACUAAAGCUUUUAUUUCUCUCCUGUUCCAGUCUUCAUUCAUGUUAUUUGUCUCUCCCUGAUGGACAUUCAUAAGCCUUUGUCUAUUGUGAAUCUGUUGUUCCUAAGGAAAAACAAUAUACUUCAUUCAAUAUAUAGCUGCAGUAAUUUAUGGGGAUGCAUUGCAAGUGUUGUCAAUGUAUGUUUACUUAAAAGGAAAACCAGACCUGUGAUUCAGUAAUAAUACAGCUCAAAUCAACCUGGAGUCUUGUUACUCUUUGGGUUUUGCUGUAUUAUGUAUACCAACAGGCCACCCAUUUUGGUUUUACUCACCUGCACACAUCAGAUUCCUGCCUGUAACACUUUCUAACAGGUUAAUAACAUACUUACGGUUUUAAACAAUGAGAUUUUUUAAAAAUUUGCUUACAUCUUUUCUUAAUGAAAAUUUGGCACACAAAAUAUACAAACAUAAUUUCUAAAAUUAUACUUCAGGGAAAAGAGCAUGUUAUCUUUAAUUGAAGCUUUAUUUCCUGUAAAAAAGAGAGAUUUGGCUGUUUCUGGGUAGUGCACUGUCAGUGUCCAGUUACAGAUUAUAAGGAAAGAAGCACUUGUACUUUAUCAAAAAAUCUGAAGAAAGUAAUCUCAGUGCAAAUGCAGAAGAGGCUUCUGAUACACUGUGGUUCUGUGCUUCCCACCAGAGAACCAAGCUAUUGAUAAAUUAGUGUGAUGGUCUUCCAGUAAGGAAAUAUAUGCAGUAUAUGAUGGAUUUGGCAUUACUAGUAAGAAGGAACUUAGUAAAAAAAAAUCAUUUAAGUAAAAAUAAAUUUAAAUGAGAAGUUUUUCACUCCACAUCUAGAUUAAAUACCAUCUCCAGAUUUGACUGUGAUGCUGUUUGCUCCCUAUUCUAGACUGGCAAUGAAGAUAAGACUUUACCAAAUCCAUGGACAUCAAAACUGUUACUUUUAAGUAAUUUGUCAUAGCCUUGGAUUUCUCCUCAGUGGCUUUUUGAGUCUUCAUGAGAGAGAUAGACUAGUAUGAUGUAUUCCAUCAUAAAAUAUGCUUCUCUUUGCAUUUUGUUAAUUUCUCAAAUCACUGUCCUGGAAUCUAACAUUGUUUACUAUUGUGUUCUGUGAACCUAUUCCUUAUUUGUCAAGUUUAAUUUAUUUCAAGGUUCAUGUCUUUUUUUUUUUCUGGAAAAUAAUAUACUCCUUUUUACAGGAGGCUUCUGCAUGAUGGGUGCAAUUUAUGUCUGAAUAUGAUGACCUGUAAUUGGUGGGAAUUUUUCACCUUGCUCUUACCCAAUGAGGAUGGGGAGGGCUAGAGUAACUGCACAGAGUAGUCGGGGUUUUUAAUUUUUUAAUUUUUGUUCUAACACAAACAGGCAUCUUUAUGCAAUUAAUGAAAGCUUGUUAACUUUCUGGAAAUCAAUGGCAUAAA